CUCCCUCUUUAAAUUAAUCUAACGCCAACUUUAUCAACAAAACACUCGACCUCCCGCGCCGACCAGCGUUCACGGAAAGUCUCUAAAGUCCCCGUGGACACCGUGUGUUCCCUCUCCAGGGACACGGACAUAAGCCCGGAUAAAGGGUCAGGCGGUCAACCCCGGUGCGGCCAUCGACUACCCGCCGUCUGGACGCGCGAAUGGUCAUCUUGGCCAAAGGAUCUUGGCCAGGCCCAGAAGCAGACGGACAGGGAGAUCCCAAAUAUAUAAGGACUGAGGAUUGCAGACGUCCAGUCUGUCUGGAGAUGCAGGGGCCUGCCAGACAGAUGCGAAGAUGGAUAUUUAAGCAACUGGUGGAUUUGAAACUAAGAAGUCAGGUGCUCAUCAUUAAGGGACUAUUCCAAGGUUCGACCUCAACCCAAUAUUCUAAAACUUAAAGAUAGAUAAAAAAGUUGGAAAGAUAUAUAUAAUAUGGAAAGAUACAUAAUAUAGCUGGUAGACAAAAAUGCUGGAGAAACUCAGCAGGUGAGGCAGCAUCGAUGGAGCAAAGGAAUAGGUGCCGUUUCGGGUCGAAACCUUUCUUCAGACUGAAGCUUAAUGUCAUUCUAAAGUCUAAUGUCACCAAAGUUCUUUUCAAUGCUCCAAUGAUGUGUGGGGCUGGGGAGCUGCUCACCUUGUGCUAGUCCAGACUUAAUCUGAUUGCUACAUUAGAACCAGAUCCUUCAUUUGCUUGGAAUAUCUGAAAUGAAAUUAGAACAUGAAAUGAAUUAGAACAUGUACAACAUUGCCCCAGGUACUACAAUGAACAGAAGUCAUUCAACCCAAGUGGUCUUUGCUGGUUCUCAUCCUCCCACACAGACUACAUUAAACACUUAAUACACAGAACUUUAGUUUAGAGAAACUUAGUCCCACCUUUCCACAAUGCUAGUUAAACAAAUCCAUGUGGUCUGAAUUCUAACCACAUAUAGGAUUUGAUUGCAAGGUACAACAUAAAACAGGCCCUUCAGCCCACCAUAUCCCUACCGAUCAUUGAUCACUUGUUCACACUAUGUCUAUGUUAUUUCACUUUCUCAUCCAUAGAAACAUAGAAACAUAGAAAAUUAGGUGCAGGAGUAGGCCAUUCGGCCCUUCGAGCCUGCACCGCCAUUCAAUAUGAUCAUGGCUGAUCAUCCAACUCAGUAUCCCGUACCUGCCUUCUCUCCAUACCCCCUGAUCCCCUUAGCCACAAGGGCCACAUCUAACUCCCUCUUAAAUAUAGCCAAUGAACUGGCCUCAACUACCCUCUGUGGCAGAGAGUUCCAGAGAUUCACCACUCUCUGUGUGAAAAAAGUUCUUCUCAUCUCGGUUUUAAAGGAUUUCCCCUUUAUCCUUAAGCUGUGACCCCUUGUCCUGGACUUCCCCAACAUCGGGAACAAUCUUCCUGCAUCUAGCCUGUCCAACCCCUUAAGAAUUUUGUAAGUUUCUAUAAGAUCCCCUCUCAAUCUUCUAAAUUCUAGAGAGUAUAAACCAAGUCUAUCCAGUCUUUCUUCAUAAGACAGUCCUGACAUCCCAGGAAUCAGUCUGGUGAACCGUCUCUGCACUCCCUCUAUGGCAAUAAUGUCCUUCCUCAGAUUUGGAGACCAAACCUGUACGCAAUACUCCAGGUGUGGUCUCACCAAGACCCUGUACAACUGCAGUAGAACCUCCCUGCUCCUAUACUCAAAUCCUUUUGCAAUGAAAGCUAACAUACCAUUCGCUUUCUUUACUGCCUGCUGCACCUGCAUGCCUACCUUCAAUGACUGGUGUACCACGACACCCAGGUCUCGCUGCAUCUCCCCCUUUCCCAAUCGGCCACCAUUUAGAUAAUAGUCUGCUUUCCCGUUUUUGCCACCAAAAUGGAUAACCUCACAUUUAUCCACAUUAUACUGCAUCUGCCAAACAUUUGCCCACUCACCCAGCCUAUCCAAGUCACCUUGCAGUCUCCUAGCAUCCUCCUCACAGCUAACACUGCCCCCCAGCUUAGUGUCAUCUGCAAACUUGGAGAUAUUACCUUCAAUUCCCUCAUCCAGAUCAUUAAUUUAUAUUGUAAAUAGCUGGGGUCCCAGCACUGAGCCUUGGGGUACCCCACUAGUCACUGCCUGCCAUUGUGAAAAGGACCCGUUUACUCCUACUCUUUGCUUCCUGUUUGCCAGCCAGUUCUCUAUCCACAUCAAUACUGAACCCCCAAUGCCUUGUGCUUUAACACUCCUUACACACUAUGGGCAAUUUACAGAGGCUAAUAAACCCACAAACAAAUAUGUAAUUUGGAUGUGGGAGGAAACUCUCUUAGUCACAGGGAGGACGUGAAAACACCACUCAGACAGCACCAGAGUUCAGGAUUGAACAGCUUCAGGCAGCAACUCCACCUCUUCUGGGUGAAGAGGUUUUCUUGUUGAAUUAAGCAAUAGCAUUUGUAAAGCAGUGGGGAAAAGGCUGAAGAGCCAGCAUGAACAUAACAAGUUGUCCGACCUCCCUCUGUGUUAAUUAAAAACGAAUGAUGCUGGGCAAAUAGGAAAGAGUUAGUGAAUGGUACUAAUUCUGCAAAGAGCUAGCAUGGAUUCAAAGGGCUGAAUGGUCCCGUGCUGUAAUGAUUCCACUUUAUGAAGAUUAUUGAGUUUUUCUCCAAUCUCAGAAAUGAUGUCCCUUUUCUCAAUCAACGAAUCCAUCAAUUAAUACUUUCAAAAAGUUACUAUUUCACAUAAGUUUAAACCAGGAACAAACCAACAGUGCUACAUAUAUCAAAACAUUUUAAACACAUGGAUUUGAAGUUACCGAUAUUAUAAAUUCAUGGUCAUGCUUCCUGUUUAUUAUUUUUUUCUUUUCCCACUUGGUCAAUUAAAUGUACACUGUACAUGCGUGUCCAAAAUACACAUCAUUUUAAAUAUAGACAUUAUAGGCAAAUAUAGGUUUGCAAAAUAGGAAAAAAAUAGAUGUAGUAUU